rnacentral:rRNA from 1 species
CUACGGGUCGCUGCAGUGAGGAAUAUUGCACAAUGGAGGAAACUCUGAUGCAGCAACGCCGCGUGGAGGAUGACGCAUUUCGGUGUGUAAACUCCUUUUAUAUGUCAAGAAAAUGACGGUAGCAUAUGAAUAAGCACCGGCUAACUCCGUGCCAGCAGCCGCGGUAAUACGGAGGGUGCAAGCGUUACUCGGAAUCACUGGGCGUAAAGGACGCGUAGGCGGGAUAUCAAGUCAGGUGUGAAAUCCUACAGCUUAACUGUAGAACUGCACUUGAAACUGGUAACCUAGAGUAUGGGAGGGGAGAUGGAAUUAGAGGUGUAGGGGUAAAAUCCGUAGAUAUCACUAGGAAUACCUAAAGCGAAGGCGAUCUCCUGGAACAUUACUGACGCUAAGGCGUGAAAGCGUGGGGAGCAAACAGGAUUAGAUACCCCGGUAGUC